rnacentral:ncRNA from 1 species
CGCCCUUGUAGCUUGACCAGCCUGCGCUGGAAGGGUGAAGGGGUUGCAAUAAACUGGUGGCUGCGACUGUUUAAUAAAAACACAGCACUCUGCAAACACGAAAGUGGACGUAUAGGGUGUGACGCCUGCCCGGUGCCGGAAGAUUAAAUGAUGGGGUGCAAGCUCUUGAUUGAAGUCCCGGUAAACGGCGGCCGUAACUAUAACGGUCCUAAGGUAGCGAAAUUCCUUGUCGGGUAAGUUCCGACCUGCACGAAUGGCGUAACGAUGGCCACACUGUCUCCUCCCGAGACUCAGCGAAGUUGAAGUGUUUGUGAUGAUGCAAUCUACCCGCGGCUAGACGGAAAGACCCCAUGAACCUUUACUGUAGCUUUGCAUUGGACUUUGAACCGAUCUGUGUAGGAUAGGUGGGAGGCUAUGAAACCGGAACGCUAGUUUCGGUGGAGCCGUCCUUGAAAUACCACCCUGGUUUGUUUGAGGUUCUAACCUUGGUCCGUGAUCCGGAUCGGGGACAGUGCAUGGUAGGCAGUUUGACUGGGGCGGUCUCCUCCCAAAG